CCUAUCUAGUAACCCCGCAACAAGUCAGUACUGAAAAUUGUUCAUCAGAAUAUCAAUCUCUGGAGUAGUAUUUUCUAAAAGCAUGGAGGCCACCAUAGCUUGCUGCUCAUCCGCCAGGGCGUUCCUGCCGGCUGCCGGCGUUGUGAGUCACCAGCAUUCCACUUCACUUUUGGCUCCAUCUUUUAGCUCCAAGGUUAUUAGCAAUUCAUUUCAAUUUAUGCAUGUGUCACACGCGCAACCAUUAUAUUAAUACGCUUGCAAUUUGGUACAAUUUCCUGCCUGUUCUGGAGAUUUGGAUAUUUGGGAUACACACGUAUAACAUAUAGUGAAUAUCAUCGCAUGGUGUAAUUGGAGCUUCAUAGUUCAUAAUUGUGACUGCAGAGCAGGGACGAAGCCAGAACUUUGUGUGAAUGGGGGCAUCCUCAAACAACAAAGCCAGAACUUCUGCAGAACCAGGUCGGAGAGCAGAAUCAGAUCAGUUCAGUGGGGGCUCUGCUACUGCAAACCCAGCUCAAUUUGAGCAGCAUCCCAGCGUCAGAAAAAUCUCAGUGGAGGCAUCCGCCCCCCUAGGCCCAUGGUAGCUCCGUCCUUGCUGCAGAGCCUAAAAUCAAGCUCCCUCUUCGGAGAAUCACUACGACAAGUGCCGCGAUCAUUGCUUAAGGUUUCCAAGACAAAACAGUUUACUCAUGUGACAAAAUGUGCAAUCGGUGAUAGCCUUGUGAUUUUACAGGUCCCAUGACCACAUGGCCAGUUAUGCAGACACAUAUUAUUAUUUCUGACACUGUUACACUCUUAUUUUUCGGCUGUCGUAUCGCAUAAAUUAUUUCAAACAAAAAAUAUUUUACCACGUGUACUUUUGUGCUGUAUGGUCAAAUAUAAUUAACUAUCAAAAUUUUCCGCUUAUAAGUUGCAAGUAAAAAUAAAAAACAUUAUAUCUUAUUUCUAGUGGUAAAAAGAAAGCAAAUUUAAUUGGUGUAGUUCUUCUAACCAUUAAUAAUGUUGCCACAAGCACUACUAUCUAGUGU
rnacentral:lncRNA from 1 species